GCCCGAGUGGUGGAAUUGGUAGACACCCAGGACUUAAAAUCCUGUGGACGCAAGUCCGUACCGGUUCAAUUCCGGUCUCGGGCA
rnacentral:tRNA from 2 species